UCAAUCCCAAACUUUUCUACACUUGCAUGUCACCCUUGCCACCUCCCCCAAAUCUUGUCCAAAAUUCUUAUGACCAGUUCUUGCAUCAAGCAAGCAGCAUAGCAGGCUUCAGGCUGGACUUAAUACUGCCUUGGGAACAGCAAAUACAUUCAGCAGGUCACCCUCCAAAUAUGGCAACUGUGGGAGGAGAUAGACACUGGGAGCAGAGCCCUGGCCUUGAGCCUUAUCCUCUCCCAUGGCCACUGGUGUUAAAAUAGUGAGAAGUCAAUGAAGUACUUCUUUGUUCCAAGAGCCAGGUUUUGGCAGGAAUGCCCAGAGAUAGAGCUGCCCAGCUGAGGAGCUAAGUCUCAUAGCCCUAGGAUAGGGCUUCCAGUUUCUCUCCCAAGACUGUUUGUGUUAAGGCAGCUUUUUCUUGGUUAUGUGUCAACUAUGUCAAAGGAAAUUUGAUGGAAUUCCUAGCCAGAAAUGGUUUCACAGGCCAUUAGUCUGCUAUUGAGAAUGUGAGUUUAAAGAAUGCUCUGGCUCAAUGUUGGAUCUAGAGUCCAGACUCUUUUCAAAGCAUCCACCAGGCAGCACAGGUAUCCCUUAAAAUGAAUUUGGUGGAUAAACACCUCCCAGGAUUGGCCUCUGCCUGGUCUCAGGGUUUCUCAUUAAUAUGGCCUGCCAGCCCAGUUCUUGGAACACCAGAAACUCAAAUAGUUCUCUAUAGGGAAAUAUUUUCCAACUUUGGGCAUUGAAGGAAAUGGGCACUUGAGAGCCUUGAUUCCAGCCUUUCCAAUAUUGAGGGAAGGGCACAUAUCUAUCCUCCUGGGCAGGUUAUUUUAUAAGGAACUUUAUCAUGGCUUCAUAUUCUCCAGACAUUCAGCCUUCCCCAAUGAUAAUCCACUCUGCUCUAGCUGGAAGCAGAGGUACCUUCACAAUGGCAUUUUGACUUCAAUCAAAUUCUUUUGAGGACAAAUUGCCUGUCAAUCCUAACUGUUCCCUGGUACUAUUGGGUAACUCCAGCAAACACAUUCCUUAUCACUAAUGCUAAUCCUACAAAUCAGAAGGUUUUUCUCAGAUUACCAACCUAGCAACUCCCUUCGCCUCCAUUCCAGUUACAGGGCCAUAAACUACACAGCACCACACAUAAUACCUUUAAGAGACAUGAUACAUGACAAAUACCUAACAACAUACAACACAUUUUGGUAAAUCCAACCCCAAUGUGGAUUCACAGUGUCCAAGGAUCCAUUUACCUCACUAGAGGCAAACUGUCCACAUAUGCUGCAGUGACUGUCACUGGACCCUUGAGCAGUAUACUCACCUCAGGUAUUACAGGUAAACAUAAGACUGCAAAGUGUCCAUGACCCCCUUACUGAAGAUUCAACUCCUGACCCGCUGCUCCGGUCCACCUACAGCACAAAUCCUACAUAACAAGAUCUACAUAUUUUUUUUUACCAUACCUGGCCCACUGCAAUUACCACAGGCAGCCCAAGAGCUCUCAGGUGGAAUGGGGGUUAGAGAAAAGAC
rnacentral:lncRNA from 1 species